UGGGGAAUAUUGGGCAAUGGGGGAAACCCUGACCCAGCAACGCCGCGUGAGGGAAGAAGGUUUUCGGAUUGUAAACCUCUGUUCUUGGAGAAGAGAAGGAGACGGUAUCCAAGGAGGAAGCCCCGGCUAACUACGUGCCAGCAGCCGCGGUAAUACGUAGGGGGCAAGCGUUAUCCGGAAUUAUUGGGUGUAAAGGGUGCGUAGACGGAUUUAUAAGUUAGUUGUGAAAGCCCUCGGCUUAACUGAGGAAGAGCAACUAAAACUAUAAACCUUGAGUAUGGGAGAGGGAAGCGGAAUUUCUAGUGUAGCGGUGAAAUGCGUAGAUAUUAGGAGGAACACCAGUGGCGAAGGCGGCUUUCUGGACCAAAACUGACGUUGAUGCACGAAAGUGUGGGGAGCAAACAGG
rnacentral:rRNA from 1 species